GCCGGGCGUGGUGGCUCACACCUGUGAUCCCAGCACUUUGGGAGGCCGAGGCAGGAGGAUCACAAGGUCAGGAGAUCAAGACCAUCCUGGCUAACACAGUGAAACCCUGUCUCUACUAAAAAUACAAAAANNNNNNNNNNUUUUUGUAUUUUUAGUAGAGACAGGGUUUCACUGUGUUAGCCAGGAUGGUCUUGAUCUCCUGACCUUGUGAUCCUCCUGCCUCGGC
rnacentral:SRP_RNA from 1 species